rnacentral:rRNA from 1 species
UACGGGGGGGGCAAGCGUUGUUCGGAAUUACUGGGCGUAAAGGGCGCGUAGGCGGUGCUCUAAGUCGGAUGUGAAAACUCUGGGCUCAACCCAGAGCCUGCAUCCGAAACUGGAGUGCUAGAGUUCUGGAGGGGGUAGCGGAAUUCCGGGUGUAGUGGUGAAAUGCGUAGAGAUCCGGAGGAACCCCAGAGGCGAAGGCGGCGCCCUGGCUCGACACUGACGCUCAGACACGACAGCAUGGGGAGCGAACGGG